GAUAUUAUGUUAUCUAAUUGGAUUAGGAUUAAUCUCGCUUUCAAAUUGGAAAGCUAAUUAGAAAUAAAUCUAAUCAUAUUGGGAUAACAAAUAAUAACCGAUUUGGCCUUACUCUAAACGCUAUUAGGAUUUGGAAUUCCUUAUAAAUAACGGCGAUCCCACAUGAAACUAGUACAAAAAAGAACGGAAAAAGAGAGAAUAAGAAAAUAAUAGAGAGAAACACAUCCUCCAUUGACCUAUUAUUCAAAGGGACUUGAACGGUGGAUUUGCGAUCGUGCUCGUUGUAGUUAGUAUCCAGCCCGAGUUUGGAGCGUGAGAAAGACAUUCAAGACGAUCCGAGACACGUAAUCAAUCUAAACGAUCGCGGCUCAUCGCGUUGUUGCGCUAAAUCGCUUCCGCAAAAGGUACGAACCGAUACUUCCGCUGCGUCUACAUUGUGCGCCGAAUUCCUAUGUUGGCAUUCGGUUAAAUCGAAUCGGGUACGCCCAUAAGCGGGUUCGAUCCGACGGAUAUUAUGUUAUCUAAUUGGAUUAGGAUUAAUCUCGCUUUCAAAUUGGAAAGCUAAUUAGAGAUAAAUCUAAUCAUAUUAGGAUAACAAAUAAUAACCGAUUUGGCCUUAUCUCUAACGCUAUUAGGAUUUUGGAAUUCCUUAUAAAUAGACGGGCGAUCCCACAUGAAACGAUGUACAAAAAAGAACGGAAAAAGAGAGAAUAAGAAAAUAAUAGAGAGAAACCACAUCCUCCAUUGACCUAUUAUUCUAAAGGGACUUGAACGGUGGAUUUGCGAUCGUGCUCGUUUGUAGUUCGAUCCACCGCGAGUUUGGAGCGUGAGAAGACAUUCAAGGAUGAUCCGAGGACACGUGAAUCAAUCUAAACGAUCCGGGCUCAUCGCGUUGUUGCGCGAAUCGCUUCCGCAAAAGGUACGAACCGAAUACUUCCGCUGCGUUCUACAGAAUAUGUACUUGUUA
rnacentral:lncRNA from 1 species